rnacentral:misc_RNA from 1 species
UUAUCAACCAUCAAGCCUGGCUUGUCGCUUGGACCCCUUUGCGCCCGGCGACAGAUCCAAAAGAUAAUGACCGGUGUCGUGGUGACCCUACAUGUAACGAGCUUGUAAGAGCAUGCAUUUGGUGGUCGUCCGGCUCGGUUAUCACCCUUUAUUUUCUCAAGGUUGACCUCGGAUCAGGUAGGAAUACCCGCUGAACUUAA